AUAAAGAGAGAACAGCUGGAAUGCUACAGUGAGAAGAGUUCGCGCUUCUAUCAAGCCCAAUAUAACCUACUGGUCAAUGUCUGAAAACAGGAGUUUCAUGUUUUAGACAACUUCAAGUGUAUGGCAGGUGUUGUUUGUGGAAAAGGAAAGACUAUUAAGCACAAAAGAAGAGCAUUCUUAAAGAAGUCUUUGAAAAGUGUGGCACUUACAGAGCAGCCUGAGCAAGCUUGCCUCUAUCCCUUAAGCGGAAUCUUAAAAGAAACGGGACUUUUCAUUGCACCUUCCUAUAUAAAGAGAUCUGGUGUAAUAAAUAAUGAAGCUGACUGUACAGCUGGAUGGAGCAGGGAAGUGAGAAUCAGUAUAAUUGCUCUACCACAGAUUCUCAGCCAUGAGUGAUUCCUACAUCACAAGGCACUAGGAGACCUUCUAGUAGACAUUUACCAAAACACCUCAGACGUGUUAUUGUUUGAUGAGCUGAAAGGACCUCAGGUGCCUGCAGGCUGACAUCACCAGAUCCUCCUGGCAUACUGACGGCCUCUGGGACUGGGAUGGCCAGGUGACCUAAUCCAGACCAAUGGAAAUGAGACUUACUGGGGUCCCAGGAAGAGAGAUGCCUCCUUUUUCCUGUUGGUUUUGAAAAUAAAGUCAGUGUAGGAGCUGGAACUUCUGAAACCAGCUACUACUCCUGUGUGCAAGCAGACUGAAGCCUUGUGGAAGGCGGAGCCAAGGAACGAAUACAACAGAGGCCUGAUUAUAUCAUCCAAGCUCUUGAAUCUAGCCAUGUCCAAAGUUAGCUCAACUUCCAGCAUUUUCCGUCCGUGCGAGCAAAUAUAUUUCCCUUUUACUUAA